rnacentral:rRNA from 1 species
CUGCUCCUAGUACGAGAGGACCGGAGUGGACGCAUCACUGGUGUUCGGGUUGUCAUGCCAAUGGCACUGCCCGGUAGCUAAAUGCGGAAGAGAUAAGUGCUGAAAGCAUCUAAGCACGAAACUUGCCCCGAGAUGAGUUCUCCCUGACUCCUUGAGAGUCCUGAAGGAACGUUGAAGACGACGACGUUGAUAGGCCGGAUGUGUAAGCGCAGCGAUGCGUUGAGCUAACCGGUACUAAUGAACCGUGAGGCUUAACCUU